CCUACGGGGGGCUGCAGUAAGGAAUAUUGGACAAUGGGCGCAAGCCUGAUCCAGCCAUGCCGCGUGCAGGAUGACGGCCCUAUGGGUUGUAAACUGCUUUUAUACGGGAAAAAACCCCUCUACGUGUAGAGGGCUGAUGGUACCGUAAGAAUAAGGAUCGGCUAACUCCGUGCCAGCAGCCGCGGUAAUACGGAGGAUCCGGGCGUUAUCCGGAUUAAUUGGUUUUAAAGGGUGCGUAUAAGGCAGUGUAGAAAUCCUGCAGCUUAACUGUAGAACUGCCAUUGAUACUGCAAGUCUUGAGUACAGAUGAUGUGGGCGGAAUGUGUAGUGUAGCGGUGAAAUGCUUAGAUAUUACACAGAACACCAAUUGCGAAGGCAGCUCACAAAACUGUAACUGACGCUGAGGCACGAAAGCGUGGGGAGUGAACAGGAUUAGAUACCCUUGUAGUC
rnacentral:rRNA from 1 species